rnacentral:misc_RNA from 1 species
GAUGAAGAACGUAGUGAAAUGCGAUACUUGGUGUGAAUUGCAGAAUCCCGUGAACCAUCGAGUCUUUGAACGCAAGUUGCGCCCGAAGCCAUUAGGCCGAGGGCACGCCUGCCUGGGCGUCACACGUCGUUGCCCCCCCAUCUACUCCUUCGGGAUUGCGGGGGGCGGAUGAUGGCCUCCCGUGCGCCUCGUCGCGCGGUUGGCAUAAAUGCCAAGUCCUCGGCGACGCACGCCACGACAAUCGGUGGUUGCGAAACCUCGGUUGCCCGUCGUGUGCGGUCGUCGCGCAUCGAGGGCUCGAAAAAAUUGCCGGGCUCCGGCUCGGCUUUCAACGCGACCCCAGGUCAGGCGGGGUUACCCGCUGAAUUUAAGCAUAUCAAUAAGCUGAGGA